CCUACGGGUGGCAGCAGUGAGGAAUAUUGGUCAAUGGCCGAGAGGCUGAACCAGCCAAGUCGCGUGAGGGAAGACGGCCCUACGGGUUGUAAACCUCUUUUGCCGGGGAGCAAAGCGAGGCACGCGUGACUCCUCGAGAGUACCCGAAGAAAAAGCAUCGGCUAACUCCGUGCCAGCAGCCGCGGUAAUACGGAGGAUGCGAGCGUUAUCCGGAUUUAUUGGGUUUAAAGGGUGCGUAGGCGGGGAGGUAAGUCAGCGGUGAAAUGCACCGGCGCAACCGGGUGAAGCGCCGUUGAUACUGCCUUGCUGGAAUGCGGAUGACGUGGGAGGAAUGUGUGGUGUAGCGGUGAAAUGCAUAGAUAUCACACAGAACACCGAUUGCGAAGGCAGCGUACGGAUCCGCGAUUGACGCUGAUGCACGAAAGCGUGGGUAUCAAACAGGAUUAGAUACCCCAGUAGUC
rnacentral:rRNA from 1 species